GUGCCAGCAGCCGCGGUAAGACGUAGGGGACGAGCGUUGUCCGGAUUUAUUGGGCGUAAAGCGCGCGCAGGCGGCCGUGUAAGUCGGGUGUGAAAUCCCGGAGCUCAACUCCGGAACUGCACUCGAAACUGCACGGCUCGAGGUAGGUAGGGGAGAUCGGAAUUCCUGGUGUAGCGGUGGAAUGCGCAGAUAUCAGGAGGAACACCGGUGGCGAAGGCGGAUCUCUGGGCCUUACCUGACGCUCAGGCGCGAAAGCUAGGGGAGCGAACAGGAUUAGAUACCCCAGUAGUCC
rnacentral:rRNA from 1 species